ensembl:misc_RNA Y_RNA Y RNA
UCCUGGUCCAAGUCCAGUGGUGUUUACAACUAAUUGAUCACAACCAGUUACUGAUUUCUUUGUUCCUUCAUUUCCACUGCUUCACUUGACUAGCCUAAA